rnacentral:rRNA from 1 species
AUCGAACGCUGGCGGCAGGCCUAACACAUGCAAGUCGAGCGGAGCAGCUGAUGGGCGAGUAAUGACUAGGAAUAUGCCUGGUAGCGGGGGAUAACGUUCUGACACGGGCGCCAAUACCGCAUACUAUUUGUUGAGCCUAGGUCGGAUUAGCUAGUUGGUGGGGUAAAGGCCUACCAAGGCGACGAUCCGUAACUGGUCUGAGGGGAUGAUCAGUCACACUGGAACUGAGACACGGUCCAGACUCCUACGGGAGGCAGCAGUGGGGAAUAUUGGACAAUGGGCGAAAGCCUGAUCCAGCCAUGCCGCGUGUGUGAAGAAGGUCUUCGGAUUGUAAAGCACUUUAAGUUGGGAGGCGUUACCAACAGAAUAAGCACCGGCUAACUUCGUGCCAGCCGCCGCGGUAAUAC